GUGCUCACUUCGGGAGCACAUAUACUAAAAUUAGACAAAUACAGAGAAGUUUUGCGUGGCCCCUGCACAAGGAUGACACACAAAUUCAUAAAGUGUUCCAUAUUAAA